UACGUAGGUGGCAAGCGUUGUCCGGAUUUACUGGGCGUAAAGAGCGCGCAGGCGGUCGUUCAAGUCGCGUGUGAAAGCCCCCGGCUCAACUGGGGAGGGUCACGCGAUACUGAUCGACUCGAAGGCAGGAGAGGGAAGUGGAAUUCCCGGUGUAGUGGUGAAAUGCGUAGAUAUUGGGGAGGAACACCAGUGGCGAAGGGCGGCUCACUGGACCGGAACUGACGCUGAGGCGCGAAAGCGUGGGGAGCAAACAGG
rnacentral:rRNA from 1 species